AGAAACGAGUUUCCAGCUGUGCCCUGUCAGCAUGGAGCUCUGGCCUAAAUGACCCCAUCCUGGGCCCUCAUCCCUGAGCAUCCUUAGCAGGCAGGGCCUUUCCUCCAGAGAUCAUCCUGUGUCACCAUGCCUAGCUGUCAGAAGUUUACGAAGCUGAAGAAGGCCACACUCAGGUGUCUGAAGGACGGCCAGAUGGAGGCAUCAGAUCCUUGGAGCUGGAGCAGUAGGAGUUUGAGAGCCACCAACUUGGGCACCUUUCUCUGCUGAGCCAUCUCACUAUGCAGCUCAGGUUGACCUUGAAUGCCACAAAAUCCCCCUGCUUCGGUUGGGAUUACCCAGCUGUGAGGGUUUCCUUCCGUCUCCCUGCCCUUCACACUCCGCUGGGCGUCUAACUUCCCAUUUCUCCUUUUGUAAUGAAUGUACUUAUUCUGCUUCUGUUUCUCCGCUGAAGUUUGGAAGCUCAGGACUUGCUCAAUAUGGCAGAUUCAAAACUGUAGGGAGAUCUGGUUCCCUUCAGCCUCAGGAUGAACCAUAUAUUAAGUUACACCUUGGUGCGUGUAACUACUAUAAAACAAUCUCUGCUAUUGCUGGCUACUCUGCCCAC
ensembl:lincRNA